CAAUCGGCGUCCUCGUCGGACUGCACGAAUGAAUCAAGCGUCUGUUUACCCAACGCCGGUGCCCGUUUCACUGAUUAAUUCACAUGACGCCAAAAGCAAUGUUCUGCCCCGCUUGUCACGCCCCAGCCCCCGCUCCCACUUCCUCAUCGUUUCGGUCAUUUUUUUUUUUCUCAUCAUGCUUCAGCGGCAUCUCUUAAAACGUGAACCCAACGGAUAUCGAUAACUAUUAACCCUUGGAUGUCCCUGGAGAGACCGGCCUUCUUCAACCAACUUCUCCGCUGGCGCCGCGUGAACGACGUCGAAAAAUCCGAGGUCCGACGCCCUGAGAAGAAUGAAAAAGCAAACGUGCAAAUCCAGAAUUGUGUGUCGGUGGCGUGCCUCGCGAUGAAUGGAACCCUGGAUAAUCAAGGAGGCAAGCUGGGCACGUCGCGCAGCC